UUCGGUUUAAUGAAAAAGUACAGUACCAUGGCUAUUGUCCUGACUGUGAUACCCGGUAUAACAUAAAAAACAGGGAGGUCCACUUACACAGUGAACCUGUCCACCCACCGGGAAAGAUUCCUCACCAAGGCCCUCCCCUCCCUCCUACACCCCAUCUCCCUCCUUUCCCACUAGAAAAUGGGGGAAUGGGAAUAAGCCACAGUAACAGCUUCCCCCCUAUCAGACCUGCAACUGUGCCUCCUCCCACUGCACCAAAACCACAGAAGACGAUCUUGAGGAAGUCAACCACUACAACCGUGUGAUGUAUGCCAUUAAAAAAAUUGUUUUUUUAAUUUUCUAUAUUAUAAACAUAAAAUAAGUAAUGAGCACUUUCUACUCAAGCAAUAAAAAGCCCAAAUAUAUUAAUCCUGCAUUCAGCAAAGUGGCAUAAAAAUCACCUGCUCCUUCAGGUUGGAAGGAAUACCUUUACUUGGGGGCAUGUCAAUUCGUUUUUCUCACUUGAUUCAUCUUUAUGACUUCCUGAGGACAGAUCUAAUUCUAAAGUAACCAGAAGCCUGGCCAUCUCAGAGCAGCAAAUCCCUCAACCUUGGAGCACAAAUGAUCGCUGAUAGAGUCUGCAUAAAAUCAUCUUCCUCUAUCUGACAGCCAUGAGCAGAGCCUUGGGGGUAAAAAAAGCCACAGCCUUAAAUCUCUUCACUCAGAAAUUACCAUGAAGAUAAAAUAAAUAAAUGGAAAGGACUAUCAAGAAGCCAACAAAACAUAAACACCAAACCAACUCAUCUUGUUUCACUUUGGAAAUAAACUGUUCCCAGAUGUGAGACCAACAAAAUUAAUAUUAAGCAAUUAAACCAGUAAAUUAUAAACUGAUUUAUCAUUUGGGAAGUUUAAAGUACAGAGAGAUGAGGUACCUGUAGCCAGAAUUACACAUCAUUUCAAAAUAUGUAGAC
rnacentral:lncRNA from 1 species